UCGAGAAUCUUGGGCAAUGCGCGAAAGCGUGACCCAGCAAUGCCGCGUGCAUGAUGAAGGCCUUCGGGUUGUAAAAUGCUGUCACCCGGGACGAAAAAAAUGACGGUACCGGGGGAGGAAGCCACGGCUAACUACGUGCCAGCAGCCGCGGUAAUACGUAGGUGGCGAGCGUUGUUCGGAUUUAUUGGGCGUAAAGGGUCCGCAGGGGGUUGGACAAGUCUGAUGUGAAAUCCCAGAGCUCAACUCUGGAACUGCAUUGGAAACUGUCUGACUAGAGUAUCGGAGAGGAGAUUGGAAUUCCAGGUGUAGCGAUAAAAUGCGUAGAUAUCUGGAGGAACACCGAAGGCGAAGGCAGCUCGCUGGACGAUUACUGACCCUCAGGGACGAAAGCAUGGGGAGCAAACA
rnacentral:rRNA from 1 species